AAAAAUUGGCUGGACUGUUAAAAUUUUAAUGGCAUUGAUGUGGCAAUUCAUAUGAGUACUUUGACAUGGAUAAUUUUUUCUUGUAAAUUUUUUUUGAAAUUUAUUGAAUUUAUUAUUUUUUUAAAGUAUAUGUGGAUUAUCAUGUGAGUUGCCAAAUUAGUGUGGUUAAAAUUUUAACAUUCCAGUUAAAUUUUUA
rnacentral:pre_miRNA from 1 species